rnacentral:lncRNA from 1 species
UCAUCCCCUUGAAGAUACAGUGGGUAAGAAUGAGGCUACCCGAAGAAGAGAAGCACCCAAAGAAGUCAAGACUCGGGAAGACCAGACAAAAUUGGCCCUUUAAAAGUCUUUGCUCUAUUCCCGUUACACGACAAUGAGCAAAGAGAAGCAGCUGUAACGGGCCUAUUUUGAUCAGGCCCAAAUCAGACCAAAAAAAAUCAAACACAAAAAAAUGAAUAAAAAUCCUAAAUAUUAACAGUCCAUCAGACCCAAAUUAUAAAAGCCAAAAAAAUUAAAAACCCUAAAGCCCAACAACCCAAACACCUAACAGAAACCCUAGCCCCCUUUUGCGCCGCACCUAGCCUCUGACAACCACUGCCAUCGCCGCUCCUCCCAUGUCAGCGCCGUACCAA